UUCCAAACAACCAGAUCAUUCUCAAUUUACUUAGAACAAGUUAGUGUUGUAAGUUAUAUGCAUAAUUUUACACAUAGACAUAUGAAAACUAUAUACUUUGUAAUUUGCAACUCCACAUAAUAUUUCAGUCUUUAAAGGUUUAUAAUUGAUAAAAAAUGGUUGAGAACCACUAACCUGAUCAGAACUCCUUUUUGACAGAUGGUGUAAGCAAGGUUGGAAGACAAAGAUAAUGUGAAAUGUCAGUGAGUUGGUGCCUCUGGCCUUCUCCAAGUCUUUAAUAUGCAAAAUUAAUUGUGAAUUUCCACCAACGAUGCCAUUUUAUUGGCUUAGUUUGGGAUCCUCCAGAAGCUGACCAUGAGAAGAGGAUUCAAAUGCCAGUGGUUUUUGGAAGAGGUGCAGAAAACAAAGGUCUAAUGAGUUGCCAACAUCAUCAAGGACCAGAGACAGCAUGGGGUACUGUUUACUUCUGAGAGGAAGGAAUGAAAAAGGUAGUUCAAUAUUCAAUCAAUGUGGUUGAUUUUCACUCUGCUUCUCCAAAAAAAAGAGAACCAAAUAGUCAUCUAAAUAUGUAGAUAAUGUAAAGUGAUUACAAAUGUGAACAGGCUUCUUGUGUGUGUGCACGUGUGUGUGUGUGUGUGUGUGUGUGUGCUCAAUGUGAGAUUUCAAGUUUAAAAACUAUUCUUUAUAUGUGUACUUGAAUAUUUAUUUUCUUAAUAUGUGGUCAUGGGUGGGUGUUCUUUUAGUUCUCAGAGCACUUCAAAUUUUCAAAGUUACAUCGAAAGGAGCUAAGUUGUUCUCUGGCAGAACUUUUUAAUAGCUGAUAUGGUUUGGCUGUGUCCCUACCCAAAUCUCAACUUGAAUUCUAUUUCCCAAAAUUCCCUUGUUGUGGGAGGGUCCCAGGAGAAGGUAAUUGAAUCAUGGGGCUGGUCUUUCCCAUGUUAUUCUCAUGAUAGCAAAUAAGUCUCAUGAGAUCUGAUGGGUUUAACAAGAGUUUCUUCUUUUGCUUCUUCCUCAUUCUCUCUUGCCAUCAUCAUGUAAAAAGUGGCCUCUUGCCCUCUGCCAUGAUUGUGAGAUCUUCCCCGGUCGCAUGGAACUGUACUCUGGGGCUAAUAUUAGCUGAGAGCCAAUUUUUAUGUCCAAUUCAACUGGAGUUUCCUCACCAUGCUGGUAAAAUAAAAUCAGAGUCUAAAUAAGACUUCUCUUUUUAACAGACGUCCUAGCCAAAGAAUUUUUGUCAUUUCUCUGUGUCAGUGAGAAGAAUCUUAAAAUGUCAGCCUUUAGCUAUUAACAGGUAUAUAAUAUCUGCUCUUCAUCUUCCUCCAAACCAGGACUGUUGUAGCACUGGUUCAUGAACUCACUAUCGACUGACUGCUUUUUUUUUUUUUUUCGGCAUCUAGUAAUUUUCCUUUGUUACUUACUGACCACAUAAUAAAUGUUUAAAAGAAAUUGUUGUAUUUGUCUUA
rnacentral:lncRNA from 13 species